rnacentral:other from 1 species
ACACCCCUGCGGUGUUGGUGAUUGGCAGCAAGUUCUUGAGCCAACAUUGAUAGAACGGGGACCCUUCCUUGGCACGGUGUGUCGACUCGGUUUUCCGAAGCGCCUAAAGUGUCAACAGGGACCCCACCUGGAAUAACCAGGUUCAUAACAACCUGUCAACACGGCAUCCUCGCGGGGGAUUU